rnacentral:rRNA from 1 species
UGGGGAAUCUUGCACAAUGGGGGCAACCCUGAUGCAGCGACGCCGCGUGAGCGAUGAAGGUUUUCGAAUCGUAAAGCUCUGUCCUAUGGGAAGAUAAUGACGGUACCAUAGGAGGAAGCCACGGCUAACUACGUGCCAGCAGCCGCGGUAAUACGUAUGUUGCGAGCGUUAUCCGGAAUUAUUGGGCUUAAAGGGCAUCUAGGCGGUAAGACAAGUUGAAGGUGAAAACCUGUGGCUCAACCAUAGGCUUGCCUACAAAACUGUUGAACUAGAGUACUGGAAAGGUGGGUGGAACUACACGAGUAGAGGUGAAAUUCGUAGAUAUGUGUAGGAAUGCCGAUGAUGAAGAUAACUCACUGGACAGAAACUGACGCUGAAGUGCGAAAGCUAGGGGAGCAAACAGG